rnacentral:rRNA from 1 species
UACAGAGGUCUCAAGCGUUGUUCGGAUUCAUUGGGCGUAAAGGGUGCGUAGGUGGCGUGGUAAGUCGGGUGUGAAAUUUCGGAGCUUAACUCCGAAACUGCAUUCGAUACUGCCGUGCUUGAGGACUGGAGAGGAGACUGGAAUUUACGGUGUAGCAGUGAAAUGCGUAGAUAUCUGGAGGAACACCGGUGGCGAAGGCGACAUCCUGGACCGGUAUUGACGCUGAGGCGCGAAAGCCAGGGGAGCAAAGCGGG